rnacentral:rRNA from 1 species
AUGGAGGCGGCUCUGGUGACUGCUGCGACGGGCGCCCUGAAACCUGUCCUCAUGAAGCUGGCCACUCUCGUGGGCGAAGAGUACAAGAGGUUCAAAGGUGUGCGUGGUGAGAUCACAUCCCUCACUCGUGAACUCGCUGCCAUGGAUGGUUUCCAGAAGAUGUCAGAGGAGGAGGAUCUUGAUGUGCAAGAUAAGGCUUGGAUGACAGAGGUGCGAGAGUUGUCCUACGACAUGGAGGACUCCAUUGACGACUUCAUGCAAUCUGUUGAUGACAAAGAUACUAAACCAGAUGGCUUCGUAGAGAAGUUAAAGCACUCUGUGGGGAAGUUGGGGAAGAUGAAGACUCGUCGUCGGAUUGGAAGAGAGAUCCAAUAUUUGAAGAAACAAAUCAUUGAGGUGGGCGAUACAAAUGCAAGGUACAAGGGUCGCCAGACCUUUAUUAGCACAAAAAAUGAAACCGUUGAUCCUAGAGCUCUUGCUAUCUUCGAUCAUGCCUCAAAGCUCGUUGGGAUUGAUGAACCCAAGGCUGAGAUAAUCAAGCUAUUGGCACAAGAGAAUGGACGACAACAACAACAACAACAACAACAAUAA